GAGGGUAUAGCUCAGUGUAAGAGCACAUGCUUAUCGUGCAUGAGGUCCUGGGUUCAAUCCCCAGUAUCUCCA
rnacentral:tRNA from 1 species